rnacentral:misc_RNA from 1 species
UUUCCGUAGGUGAACCUGCGGAAGGAUCAUUAUUGUAUAACCGAGGUGCGAGGGCUGUCGCUGACCCGACAGGUCGUGCACGCCCGAGUGCCCUCACUCACAUCCAUCUCACCCCUAUGGGCACCACCGCGUGGGUCCCCCUUUGGCUUGUUCGGAGGGGGGCUUACGUUUUCACACAAACUUUGUAUUCAGUGUAGAAUGUAUUUUUUGUUUUUGCGAUCACGCAAUCAAUACAACUUUCAACAACGGAUCUCUUGGCUCUC